rnacentral:rRNA from 1 species
AGUGAACGCUGGCGGUAGGCCUAACACAUGCAAGUCGAACGACAACACAGUAAGAGCUUGCUCUUACGGGUGGCGAGUGGCGGACGGGUGAGGAAUACAUCGGAAUCUACUUUUUCGUGGGGGAUAACGUAGGGAAACUUACGCUAAUACCGCAUACGACCUACGGGUGAAAUCAAGGGAUCUUCGGACCUUGCGCAAUUCAAUUAGCCGAUGUCGGAUUAGCUAGUUGGCGGGGUAAAGGCACACCAAGGCGACGAUCCGUAGCUGGUCUGAGAGGAUGAUCAGCCACACUGGAACUGAGACACGGUCCAGACUCCUACGGGAGGCAGCAGUGGGGAAUAUUGGACAAUGGGCGCAAGCCUGAUCCAGCCACACCGCGUGGGUGAAGAAGGCCUUCGGGUUGUAAAGCCCUUUUGUUGGGAAAGAAAAGAAGCAGGUUAAUACCCCGCUGUUCUGACGGUACCCAAAGAAUAAGCACCGGCUAACUUCGUG